CAACAACAACAUCCGUGAAAGUUGGUCAGGAAGGACUCACCAAGUUGCCAGUUCCUCCUGACAAGUGACCAGCUCGCCGAUGUGUUCACCAAGGGCCCAAGCUGUUUCGACCGAGAAGCACCGAAGCACUUUAGGUUUGAGAGGGGGUGUUGGAAGUCAACCCUAAGUGCGGCCCUGGUGAUUAGUUUAGUUCAAGCAAAACAUUGUAAAACGUCCAAUCUCAUUUUUCAAAACAUUGAGAAAAACGAAGAUUCAAUUUUAUGAAAACAUUUCAUUAUUGCUGUAAAAUUGAUGAUUAAAUUACAUUGGCCUUUUAAAAAAGUUAACAACAUGCGGGACCGGUUAAGCCCUUUGCGUUUUAGCGCCUUUGUAAACAUUGGCGUGUUUCAUUUUCCAUCUGGCCCUAUGUCAAACGGCCAAACACGACGUCAGGAUUUGUUUUUGUUGUUCUUUUGUUUUUUGGCUUCGCAGGCCAAACCAAAACAAAUUAUGAUAUCGUGUUAGGACUUUUGCACCAAAAACACUUUUUUCUCGUUUUACGUUAAUUGAACAGUUAAUUAGUUUUAUUUUCAUAAAAUUUAUAUAAUGUAUCGAGUUUUAUUGUAUUCCUAAAGGGAAGUGCAAAGCAGGUGGCGGCAGAGGUCGAGGGGAGGAAGAAGUUUUCGUUCGCUGUUUUUUCGGAGGAGCUGCUGCUGCUGAGCCGCCAUGGAGUAUCAACCCGGUUACGGUGAUAAACAUGCCAGAGUACGUGACGAGUCGGAUGGCGGGGAUUAUCCGGAACCGUCAGCAGCAGGUUAUUGCGAAGCCAUGAGGCUCGAAAUCGUUUGUGUAACCGCAGUUCUCGGCGCAACUGAUCGAUCUGUGCUCGCUGGACCUCGCUCCGAAGAAAACCGCCACCAGCAGGUUCGGUCUGGACUAGGAUGAAACUGCGCCUACGCCAAAAGGAUACAAACGUACCUCCUCAUCAUCUGUGACGAGAACAAAGUAUCCGGACAACACAGUGAACCACCCAGAGUAGUCUUCCCUGGUGCCAACACAGAUGCCGCAAAAUAGCUUGGACAUCUCCGUCGAUCCUGUAUGUUUUUGUGCUUUACCGGCUAUCACCCAAGGAAAAAGGAAGUGAACAAAAUAGCUUGGAUCUUGCUACGGCCGAACAGUACGACACGGAAUAGCAAACUGGAGAAAUGAAUCACCUCUCAUAAGCAAAGAUUUCAAGUGAUGGUUUUCACCAAAUAAAUUGAUGCAUUUUUGUUCUUUUGUGUUUUU